CGGCCGCGGACUGCGUCCCUGGGGACACUGGAGGGGACUCCAGGGACAGCGUGGGUGGGCCUUUCCCCCGCACGCGCCUCUGUCACUCUCUUUCCGGGCCAGAGCCGGGGCAGCGCUCUAAAUUAAGGUCGACCUCCAGCGCUGGGUGAAGUCUUGAGUCCGCCCGGGAGCCCUAGAAGAGACUGGGGCAGCAUGAAUGUGCUGGAAGAUUAGAGGCUGCUGAUGCUGAAGGAAGGAGAAACGAGGAGGAAGUGUCCCUGUGGACAAGUCAUCUCCCUUCAUUUAAGCCAGGCCAGUAGUCCGGGAGACAUUCUGAAUGAUGCAUUAUCCUAGGCACCAGAAAGUAUCUAACAUUCUCAUGGACAGCAGGGAAAAAUGAGCACAUGAGACAGGGGAAGAUUCCAGCACCUGUGAACAUGUUUGUGCAGGUUUCCAGUCAGUACAUGGAUAUCCCUCAAGCCUUUGAAUCCAGUCUCCUGUGUUGUGAUUGGACCGUUUGUCAUUAGGUUUCCAGUGGCAGAGUAAUGCUGUGGGAGAACUGGCUACGAUGGCCGCAGGAGGUGAAUUAAGUAUUGUUGUGUUUUUAGUAGAACCACUAAAGGAAGAUCUGCAGGCAAGUUGGAUGAGUAUAAGAGCCAAAGAUUGACAAGACUUCCUCAGAUGCUCCUACUGACCAGUGGGGGCACUUCUACAGCUCCCCGAAUAUGUUCUCCCUGCAACCCCCACCACUUUUUAAUUAAAUGGCCAGAACUGCCUUUUUGUAUCAAAACUUAUUUUAGUCUAUCAAUCAAAGGCUUCUAUAGCCCACCUCAUGGCAAAGGAUAUCAGAGAGGUAAAAGAUAAUUGUUUUGACAUAUUUAUUAUCACAACUAGCGACUCUUUCUGCAUUCACAUUGGCUGGUAUGCAGAAAAGGGUGCUUUACAGGAUUCUUGGAAAUGUGUAGUGGAUGCUGGCUCUAGGGGAGGCAGAAUAGAGUGUGGGUUCUGCCAUGGGUCACAUCCGGGUUUUAAUUCUGCCUCUGCCACAUGACCUUGAGCACACUGGAAAACCCUAUUAGAUGUGCAAGAAGGCUUCCCCAUCUGUAAAGGUGGGUGACUUAGCAACUUUAGCAAUGCUUAAGUCACCCGGUUGUUGUGAGUAAUACAUAAGUUAAUGUAUGCUAACUUUCUAGAAAGUUUCCUGGCACAAAGUUGUAUUUAAUAAAUGAUUUUUAAA
rnacentral:lncRNA from 1 species